rnacentral:misc_RNA from 1 species
UUUUUUUUUACAUAAUAGAUUAUAACCCAUUUGAGUUCUUCAAAUAAAUGGUUCUGGAGGCUAUUUGUUUCCUUCAUGGAAAUGGAACCAUCUUCAAUUUUCUUCAUGAAGAGUGAUGUUUCUGUUCCAGGACCCAACCAGUCUCCAAGAAACCAUACAAAAUAUGAGGAGAUCAUUGCAACCCUUCCUCGUAAAGAAAAUGUCCUUGGAGCACAGCGCGAUUCAUACAUCCAUGAAUACCAAGGUUUUUGGUGCACUCCAACUUUGCUGGAAGGCAUCAUGUCAGUGCAGGAACACUUCACAGCUCCACCUACUGAUAUUAUCAUUUGCACCCAUCCAAAAUGCGGCACUACUUGGCUUAAAGCCCUGUGUUUUGCCAUUCUGACAAGGGCACGAUUCAACGAUUCCUCCACAAAUCCAUUAUUUACUAAGUCGCCACAUGAUAUUGUGCCUUGGCUUGAAAUUUUUUAUUGUUUCGGCGGUACUAGAGACCCUGAACUUCCACUUUGGGCCACACACAUUCCCUACACUUCCUUGCCCGAGUCCAUUGCAGAGUCCAAGUGUAAAAUUAUUUACCUCUGCAGGGAUCCCAAGGAUUUGUUUAUUUC